rnacentral:rRNA from 1 species
CAGUCGAACGCUUCUUUUUCCACCGGAGCUUGCUCCACCGGAAAAAGAGGAGUGGCGAACGGGUGAGUAACACGUGGGUAACCUGCCCAUCAGAAGGGGAUAACACUUGGAAACAGGUGCUAAUACCGUAUAACAAUCGAAACCGCAUGGUUUUGAUUUGAAAGGCGCUUUCGGGUGUCGCUGAUGGAUGGACCCGCGGUGCAUUAGCUAGUUGGUGAGGUAACGGCUCACCAAGGCGACGAUGCAUAGCCGACCUGAGAGGGUGAUCGGCCACAUUGGGACUGAGACACGGCCCAAACUCCUACGGGAGGCAGCAGUAGGGAAUCUUCGGCAAUGGACGAAAGUCUGACCGAGCAACGCCGCGUGAGUGAAGAAGGUUUUCGGAUCGUAAAACUCUGUUGUUAGAGAAGAACAAGGAUGAGAGUAACUGUUCAUCCCUUGACGGUAUCUAACCAGAAAGCCACGGCUAACUACGUGCCAGCAGCCGCGGUAAUACGUAGGUGGCAAGCGUUGUCCGGAUUUAUUGGGCGUAAAGCGAGCGCAGGCGGUUUCUUAAGUCUGAUGUGAAAGCCCCCGGCUCAACCGGGGAGGGUCAUUGGAAACUGGGAGACUUGAGUGCAGAAGAGGAGAGUGGAAUUCCAUGUGUAGCGGUGAAAUGCGUAGAUAUAUGGAGGAACACCAGUGGCGAAGGCGGCUCUCUGGUCUGUAACUGACGCUGAGGCUCGAAAGCGUGGGGAGCAAACAGGAUUAGAUACCCUGGUAGUCCACGCCGUAAACGAUGAGUGCUAAGUGUUGGAGGGUUUCCGCCCUUCAGUGCUGCAGCUAACGCAUUAAGCACUCCGCCUGGGGAGUACGACCGCAAGGGUUGAAACUCAAAGGAAUUGACGGGGGCCCGCACAAGCGGUGGAGCAUGGGGUUUAAUUCGAAGCAACGCGAAGAACCUUACCAGGUCUUGACAUCCUUUGACCACUCUAGAGAUAGAGCUUCCCCUU